GAGGAAUAUUGGUCAAUGGGCGCGAGCCUGAACCAGCCAAGUAGCGUGAAGGAUGACUGCCCUAUGGGUUGUAAACUUCUUUUAUAAGGGAAUAAAGUGAGGCACGUGUGCCUUAUUGUAUGUACCUUAGGAAUAAGCCACGGCUAACUACGUGCCAGCAGCCGCGGUAAUACGUAGGUGGCAAGCGUUAUCCGGAUUUACUGGGUGUAAAGGGCGUGUAGGCGGGAAAGCAAGUCAGGCGUGAAAACUAUGGGCUCAACCCAUAGCCUGCGUUUGAAACUGUUUUUCUUGAGUGUCGGAGAGGUAAUCGGAAUUCCGUGUGUAGCGGUGAAAUGCGUAGAUAUACGGAGGAACACCAGUGGCGAAGGCGGAUUACUGGACGAUAACUGACGCUGAGGCGCGAAAGCGUGGGGAGCAAACA
rnacentral:rRNA from 2 species